CCCAGAUCCUGUACCCCCAUAAGAGAUAUCUUACCAAGCUGUUCUGUCAUUUUUUUUUUCAUUUUUUGGCCUCUCCCAUGCUCUUUUCCAAUGAGGCACCAGAGAGACAGAUGAACAGGAUACUGGCCCUGCUCUCACGGAGCUCUGGAAGUAACGGAGAGGACAGAUUCAUGCGCAGCCAAUCACAGACCUGGGAACGCCGUUACAGUGGCAAAGAAUAAGCUAUCGAUGUUACAGCGACCCUCCAAGGAGCCCAAGAAUUUCCUGAGUUGGAGAAGAGGGGUCAGGGCAGGGGGAUUCUAGAGGGGUGCGUGGGAGAGUAAACCUCACGUCCAGCAGAGACCGAAGGGGGCUCCUCGCAGGGAGGGAUGGGGGGUGAGAGGCUGCAGAGGUUGCCUGGGGCCUGCUGGGACUUGACCUAGCUGACAGUGGGCACCAUUGAGAAAUGUGCAGUGGGAAGUGGCGGGGCCACGUUUGCAUUCUAGGAGGAUGUCCUGGCAGCCGGGGAGGGUGGUCUGCAGGGGCCAGAGUGGAGGCCGGAAGGCCAGCGAGGGGUUGUCAAAUGUGGCGUCCAAAGCAAUGCCUCCAACUGCCAGCGGAGAGAAGUCUCAUUAGCAAAAAGAAGGAGGAAUUGCUCCUGCCACUUAGACUGCAAAAAACCCAAGUUCAACAUAAAAUAAAAUAGACUUUUUAUUUUCUGAUUUUGCAUUUUCUAUUAUCUGUCCUUCUUUUGCUGUUCCGUGUCAUCUCCUUGUUUCCUCUCUGGUUUUCCAUGAGUUCUUUGCAUACUUUGUUUUCAAUUUUAAAAUGCAUAUCUUUCCGUAUAAAGUUAAUGGCCCUGCCUCCCUGCAGCUGGGGAGACCUGAGUUCAAAUCCCAGCUCUGCUGUUUGCCGCCUGCUGUUCCUUCUUUGUGAAAGGGGAGGUUUCAGUCCCUCUCCGAAAGGGGCAUGUGAAGAGGAGGUCAUGCCCAGCAGAUAUUUACGAGGAUGUCUAAGACAUGGGAACUAGGACGAUUGUUUUCAAUAUUAUGCUUCUUUAAAAGGCUGUUUUAGCUGUUUAAGCAAUCCAGGCAAAGAUAAGGUGCUGAGUUCUAUGAAGAGAACACAGAGAGAUUAAUUCCAGAGAUACGUCAGGGGUGAGGACGACCUCACCUAACAGGUGACUGUCAUGCCUGUGAGAAAAUACCUUUUCCAAAUGGUGCCGUCCACUUCUAUCUCUCCACGGAAGGAUGGUGAAGUCUUCCACCUGGAGCUCCUGAGAGAACAGUGGGCUUAGUGGAAACACCACACACCUGGCUGGGUGUUUUCAGGUGGAGACGCUGAGGGCUGUUUCUUUCCAGUCCUGGAAGACGCGGAAUUUCUUCUCGGCAGCUUUGCUCGGCCUGCGUCUGAGCGAUGAGGAAACUGAGACACAAAAAUGGGGGAUGACUUGCCCAGGAAGCUGGACCACAUCACACAACGUUACUAUUGUAAUACCUUUAUCAAGAGUACCUCACAUGGCAACAAUGGGAGAAAAAUCAUACAGCUGGCUGCGUCAGGGAGAAAAGGAAGGGUGCCCCGGAGGCCACGGGAGACCAAGACAAUCCCUCUGUGGCUCAGAGUCUGGUAAUGGCUUAAUUAUCUUGCGGGGGAAAAAAAUGUGAACUGGCUACACCUCCUGAUCCAUGAAAUUGCAAUUACCCUGAAGAGUCGUUCAUCAACUGCCCUUUUGAAGGUGGGAGGGACAGCAUCUGAGGCUGCACAUUUUGACGCACACACAGCUUCCCACAGUGACACAGUGGGAGGGACGGUGGCCGGGGUGAGGAAUCCCGAACGCGGCUUCCCCUCUGCCUUGGCUACACAGGCGUUCUUUGGUUCAUUGCUUCUCCUCUCUGCACUGCAUCUGCACUGCACAUUCUUUACUUAAAAUAUGGCUGUGGUUCAGAAGAUGGGUUUUUGCCCACUUAGGGCAUGUGCUCACUGAUUUAAAAACUUCUCCACUCCCUACCACUCUCUGUUGUCUAAUGAUGCAUUUCAUUUCAUUGAUUGAUUGAUUGACUGAGAUGGAGUCUCCCUCUGUCACCCAGGCUGGAGUACAGUGGCACAAUCGUGGCUCACUGCAACUUCCACCUCCUGGGUUCAAGCGGUUCUCCUGCCUCAGCCUCCCACGUAGUGGGAAUGCAGGCGCCUGCUACCACGUCCAGCUAAUUUUUUUAUUUUUAAUAGAGAUGGGGUUUCGCCAUAUUGGCCAUGGUUGGCCAGGCUGGUCUUGAACUCCUAACCUCAGGUGAUCUGCCCGCCUUGGCCUCCCAAAGUGUUGGGAUUACAGGCGUGAGCCCCUGUGCCUGGCCCUGCAUUUCAUUCUUUUAAGUUCUAUGUUUGGCACAUGUCCGAAAGCUGGGCUGCCAGAUUUAGUAAAUUUAGUAUAAGUAUGUGUUGUGUAGUAUUUGGAACAUGCUUAUAUUUUAAAAGUAUUAAUUUUUAAUCUGAAAUUAAAACGUAACUGGGCAUCCUGUGUUUUAUCUGGGCAUUUCACAGAAGCAUUUGAGUUUGAGACUCCUAGACUAGAGGGUUUGUGAGGUAUAUUUCAGCUCUAAAAGUGUAUAGCCAUCAACUCAUUCAGUAAUCUUACUGGGUGCCUGUGGCAUAUAUAUUUUUGCUUUCUGGGAAAUACAGUUGGAACCCUG
rnacentral:lncRNA from 1 species